rnacentral:rRNA from 1 species
AUUGAACGCUGGCGGCAUGCCUUACACAUGCAAGUCGAACGGUAACAGGUCUUCGGAUGCUGACGAGUGGCGAACGGGUGAGUAAUAUAUCGGAACGUGCCCAGUCGUGGGGGAUAACGCAGCGAAAGCUGUGCUAAUACCGCAUACGAUCUAUGGAUGAAAGCGGGGGAUCGCAAGACCUCGCGCGAUUGGAGCGGCCGAUAUCAGAUUAGGUAGUUGGUGGGGUAAAGGCCCACCAAGCCAACGAUCUGUAGCUGGUCUGAGAGGACGACCAGCCACACUGGAACUGAGACACGGGUCCAGACUCCUACGGGAGGCAGCAGUGGGGAAUUUUGGACAAUGGGCGCAAGCCUGAUCCAGCAAUGCCGCGUGCAGGAUGAAGGCCUUCGGGUUGUAAACUGCUUUGUUACGGAACGAAAAGGCUCUGGCUAAUACCUGGGGCUCGAUGACGGUACCGUAACGAAUAAGUACACCGGCGUAACCUACGUACG